CCUGAAUGGGUGGCAGCUGAUUGAGGAGAGAAUUUCCAGAAGGGAGAUGGAGCAAACAGAGACCCCUAAAAAGCCCGUAAGUGUUCAGCUGUGGCCUUUGAGGCUGCAGUUAGAGUAGAAGAUGGUGAGUGGGGAAGUCCAUUAAGAACAGAGCCCAUCAUCCGAGUUACCAGGAGUCGCUCACUCAUCUCCUAGGCACGCGAUAUCCUUCCAUCUAUGUCAUGAUUUGAAUCUGCUGUGAUCUUCACUGGCUUUUCCCUGUUAUGUGGUGUCUCUGGUCAGUACAGUCCUUUAAAGCUGUAAUUAGAACUUGUCUUGUACCUAGGCACAUAGUAGGACCUCAGAAAAUAUUUGUUUGAGUGGAAUUGCAUCUGUCCGUAAAACGGGAGCUGUUAUAAGAGGAGAAACUGACCACCACUCCCAGGGAGAAAGGGGCUCGAAUGGUCUGAUUCUCAAGUCGCUGGAACACUUGUGAAGGAGCCUGAGCCAUUUACUGGAAAGAGUGCUGGAGUGAAAGCAGGCGUCCUGGGUGGACUCUGCCCUUCUCAGCACCAAUUCCCACCCUGGACACGCACAUUUUCUGGAACCAAGCAUAAUAAAGCUCAGUAUGUGUUUCAUUUUAUGAAU
rnacentral:lncRNA from 1 species